AACCCUUAAUCAAGGCAUGCCGGGGGUGGGAAGAAAGCCCUUUUGAUGUCAAAGCACUUUUAAGCGAGGAGGAGGCUACCGAGAUUAAUACUCCUGGGAUAGUGGACGUUACUCGCAGAAUAAGCACCGGCUAACUCUGUGCCAGCAGCCGCGGUAAUACAGAGGGUGCAAGCGUUAAUCGGAUUUACUGGGCGUAAAGCGCGCGUAGGUGGCCAAUUAAGUCAAAUGUGAAAUCCCCGAGCUUAACUUGGGAAUUGCAUUCGAUACUGGUUGGCUAGAGUAUGGGAGAGGAUGGUAGAAUUCCAGGUGUAGCGGUGAAAUGCGUAGAGAUCUGGAGGAAUACCGAUGGCGAAGGCAGCCAUCUGGCCUAAUACUGACACUGAGGUGCGAAAGCAUGGGGAGCAAACAGGAUUAGAUACCCUGGUAGUCCAUGCCGUAAACGAUGUCUACUAGCCGUUGGGGCCUUUGAGGCUUUAGUGGCGCAGCUAACGCGAUAAGUAGACCGCCUGGGGAGUACGGUCGCAAGACUAAAACUCAAAUGAAUUGACGGGGGCCCGCACAAGCGGUGGAGCAUGUGGUUUAAUUCGAUGCAACGCGAAGAACCUUACCUGGUCUUGACAUAGUAAGAACUUUCCAGAGAUGGAUUGGUGCCUUCGGGAACUUACAUACAGGUGCUGCAUGGCUGUCGUCAGCUCGUGUCGUGAGAUGUUGGGUUAAGUCCCGCAACGAGCGCAACCCUUUUCCUUAUUUGCCAGCGGGUUAAGCCGGGAACUUUAAGGAUACUGCCAGUGACAAACUGGAGGAAGGCGGGGACGACGUCAAGUCAUCAUGGCCCUUACGACCAGGGCUACACACGUGCUACAAUGGUCGGUACAAAGGGUUGCUACCUCGCGAGAGGAUGCUAAUCUCAAAAAGCCGAUCGUAGUCCGGAUUGGAGUCUGCAACUCGACUCCAUGAAGUCG
rnacentral:rRNA from 1 species